UUAUUUUCACAUACUCUAUCUAUUUUACUGCUUUAUAUUUUCAAAUGAUAGUCCUUACCAGAUUUCACACAUGGAUAGUCUAAAAACUUUAAGAUACAAUCAUCUUCAGGAUACAGUGCAGCCAGAAUUUAAGUUGUCAGUGCAGCCAGAAUUUAAGUUGUCAAUAAUCCCCUGAUUAAAAAAAAAAGGCACAGAAUCUCCCUUAGGGAACCCAAGGCAGAGUAUGUAUUAAAGGAGCUUGGAUAAAAAGUCACUCAUUGUGUUGGAAGUCUCUUCUUCCCCUUUAAAUGUCUCAUAACCCUAGAUAAUUCAGUCCCACCAGGUCCAUAACUAGGUUCCAGAGUUAAUCACCUGGAACAUGGGGUUAGGCUGGACUGACUAUUUUCUCUUUGCUCAACACUGACUAUGCAUCUUAAUGUUGGGAGUGAAUAUAUGGAGGCUAACGCUAAGAUAAUGAAUAAUAUCAACUCUUCUAGAUUAAUUUUACGUGCCACCAUUUCAUACUUUCAGCUUCUAGGCAGUAAUACUUGGGAUGAAAAUUUUUUAAUGCGGAUUAAUAUAUCUGUCUUCAGAAUGAUGGAAAUGGGGACCAACCACCUUAUGCCUCAGAAGUUCAAGGGACUUCUCCAUUUACCAAAAAGAAGCUGAAGACUGAGGACACUUAGGAAGUUCAGCUCCAAAUAAAAAUCACUGAAAGGUUAGCAACUCAACAUAGUAUUCAGUGACAACCCAUUAUGAGCAAGGCACUGUGCCUGAGGCAGAAAGAGACAGGCAUACAAAAAAAUUAAGUCUAACACAAUGGAAUAAGUGCUACAAAUAGAGGCAAAUAUCGAUUAUGAUUAAUAAAGAGAAUAAAAGGAUUAACUCUUCCUGAAUGUACUGCCGAGAAAGGGGCAUUUGAGAAGGGUCGGAAGAGUGAGUAGGAAUUUGCUCAUACAAAGGGGUAAGGGAAGGCUCCCCCUAUAUGCACUGAACAUUGCAGUAACUAGGAGAUGAGAAGAUGCAGGAAAGUAGUCUGAGAUGACACUGUGGAAAGGUCAAAGCCACAUCCAUCAAAUAGAAUUAUCUAUGGCAGACUAAGAAAGGACAUAGUCACACCAGAUUUUUUUUUUUUUUUUUUUUUUUUUGUCUUUCUAGGGCCGCACAUGAAGCAUAUGGAAGUUCCCAGCCUGGAGUCAAAUCAGAGCUGUAGCUGCUGGCCUACACCACAGCUGAAGCAACAACAGAUCCAAGCCACAUCUGUGACCUACACCACAGCUCACAGCAAUGCCAAGUCCUUAACCCACUGAGCGAGGCCAGGGAUCAAACCUGCAUCCUCAUGGAUACUGAGU
rnacentral:lncRNA from 9 species